GAUGAACGCUGGCGGCGUGCCUAAUACAUGCAAGUCGAGCGAACAGACGAGGAGCUUGCUCCUCUGACGUUAGCGGCGGACGGGUGAGUAACACGUGGAUAACCUACCUAUAAGACUGGGAUAACUUCGGGAAACCGGAGCUAAUCCCGGAUAAUAUAUUGAACCGCAUGGUUCAAUAGUAAAAGACGGUUUUGCUGUCACUUAUAGAUGGAUCCCCGCCGCAUUAGCUAGUUGGUAAGGUAACGGCUUACCAAGGGAACGAUGCGUAGCCGACCUGAGAGGGUGAUCGGCGACCCUGGAACUGAGCCACGGUCCAGACUACUACGGGAGGCAGCAGUAGGGAAUCUUCCGCAAUGGUCGAAAGCCUGACGGAGCAACGCCGCGUGAGUGAUGAAGGUCUUCGGAUCGUAAAACUCUGUUAUUAGGGAAGAACAAAUUUGGAAGUAACUAUGCACGUCUUGACGGUACCUAAUCAGAAAGCAACGGCUAACUACGUG
rnacentral:rRNA from 1 species